UACGUAGGGGGCUAGCGUUGUCCGGAAUCAUUGGGCGUAAAGAGCGUGUAGGCGGCCAGGUAGGUCUGCUGUGAAAACUCGAGGCUCAACCUCGAGACGUCGGCGGAAACCAUCUGGCUAGAGUCCGGAAGAGGAGAGUGGAAUUCCUGGUGUAGCGGUGAAAUGCGCAGAUAUCAGGAAGAACACCCGUGGCGAAGGCGGCUCUCUGGGACGGUACUGACGCUGAGACGCGAAAGCGUGGGGAGCGAACAGG
rnacentral:rRNA from 1 species